AUUGAACGCUGGCGGCAUGCCUUACACAUGCAAGUCGAACGGCAGCACGGGAGCAAUCCUGGUGGCGAGUGGCGAACGGGUGAGUAAUAUAUCGGAACGUGCCCAGUCGUGGGGAUAACGUAGCGAAAGUUACGCUAAUACCGCAUACGAUCUAAGGAUGAAAGCGGGGGAUCGCAAGACCUCGCGCGAUUGGAGCGGCCGAUAUCAGAUUAGGUAGUUGGUGAGGUAAAGGCUCACCAAGCCAACGAUCUGUAGCUGGUCUGAGAGGACGACCAGCCACACUGGAACUGAGACACGGUCCAGACUCCUACGGAGGCAGCAGUGGGAAUUUUGGACAAUGGGCGAAAGCCUGAUCCAGCAAUGCCGCGUGAGUGAUGAAGGCC
rnacentral:rRNA from 1 species